rnacentral:rRNA from 1 species
UGAAUACGAGACGCUAAGGCGUCGAAGUAGUGUAUGUCAUACUUCCAAGAAAAGCUUGCACUGUCAUAGAUAAGAACGCCUGUACCAUAACCGACACAGGUGGGUAGGUAGAGUAUACUAAGGGGCGCGAGAUAACUCUCUCUAAGGAACUCGGCAAAAUAACUCCGUAACUUCGGGAGAAGGAGUGCCUUAUUCGUAAGGUUGCAAUAACAAGAUCCAAGCAACUGUUUAUCAAAAACACAGGUCUCCGCUAAGUCGUAAGACGAUGUAUGGGGGCUGACGCCUGCCCAGUGCCAGAAGGUUAAAGAAGUUGGUUAGCAAUUGCGAAGCUGAUAACUGAAGCCCUGGUGAACGGCGGCCGUAACAAUAACGGUCCUAAGGUAGCGAAAUUCCUUGUCGGGUAAGUUCCGACCCGCACGAAAGGCGUAAUGAUUUGGAUACUGUCUCGGAGAGGGGCUCGGUGAAAUAGACUUGUCUGUGAAGAUGCGGACUACCUGCACCAGGACAGAAAGACCCUAUGAAGCUUUACUGUAACUUGAAAUUGAAAUUGGACUUUAUUCGCGCAGUAUAGGUGGGAGGCGUUGAUUAUAAUCUUGUGGGAUUAUUGGAGCCAUCAGUGAGAUACCACUCUUGUAAUGUUAGAUUUCUAACUUUGAAUCAUUAUCUGGUCAAAGAACAGUUUCAGGCGGGCAGUUUGACUGGGGCGGUCGCCUCCUAAACGGUAACGGAGGCGUACAAAGGUUUCCUCUGAACGGUUAGAAAUCGUAUCUAGAGUGUAAAGGCAUAAGGAAGCUUGACUGUGAGACCUACAAGUCGAGCAGGGACGAAAGUCAGUCUUAGUGAUCUGACGGUACUGAGUGGAAAGGCCGUCACUCAACGGAUAAAAGUUACUCUAAGGAUAACAGGCUGAUCUCCCCCAAGAGUUCACAUCGACGGGGAGGUUUGGCACCUCGAUGUCGGCUCAUCGCAUCCUGGGGCGGUAGUACGUCCCAAGGGUUGGGCUGUUCGCCCAUGAAAGCGGUACGCGAGCUGGGUUCAGAACGUCGUGAGACAGUUCGGUCCAUAUCCGGUGUAGGCGUUAGAAUAUUGAGAGGAGCCUUCUUUAGUACGAGAGGACCGAGAAGGACAUACCUCUGGUGUACCAGUUAUCGUGCCAACGGUAAACGCUGGGUAGCUAUGUAUGGAGUGGAUAACCGCUGAAAGCAUCUAAGUGGGAAGCCCACCUCAAGAUAAGUAUUCUCAAC